rnacentral:rRNA from 1 species
CCGGCACGGGUGAGUAACACGUAUCCAACCUGCCGUCUACUCUUGGCCAGCCUUCUGAAAGGAAGAUUAAUCCAGGAUGGCAUCAUGAGUUCACAUGUCCGCAUGAUUAAAGGUAUUUUCCGGUAGACGAUGGGGAUGCGUUCCAUUAGAUAGUAGGCGGGGUAACGGCCCACCUAGUCAACGAUGGAUAGGGGUUCUGAGAGGAAGGUCCCCCACAUUGGAACUGAGACACGGUCCA